ACGAACGCUGGCGGCGUGCUUAACACAUGCACGUCGAACGGAAAGGCCCUGCUUUUGUGGGGUGCUCGAGUGGCGAACGGGUGAGUAACACGUGAGUAACCUGCCCUUGACUUUGGGAUAACUUCAGGAAACUGGGGCUAAUACCGGAUAGGAGCUCCUGCUGCAUGGUGGGGGUUGGAAAGUUUCGGCGGUUGGGGAUGGACUCGCGGCUUAUCAGCUUGUUGGUGGGGUAGUGGCUUACCAAGGCUUUGACGGGUAGCCGGCCUGAGAGGGUGACCGGCCACAUUGGGACUGAGAUACGGCCCAGACUCCUACGGGAGGCAGCAGUGGGGAAUAUUGCACAAUGGGCGGAGGCCUGAUGCAGCAACGCCGCGUGCGGGAUGACGGCCUUCGGGUUGUAAACCGCUUUCGCCUGUGACGAAGCGUGAGUGACGGUAAUGUGUAAAGAAGCACCGGCUAACUACGUG
rnacentral:rRNA from 1 species